ACGUAGGGGGCGAGCGUUGUCCGGAAUCAUUGGGCGUAAAGCGCGUGUAGGCGGCUUGAUAAGUCUGGUGUGAAAUCUUGGGGCUCAACCCCAAACCUGCACUGGAUACUGUCAAGCUUGAGUCCGGGAGGGGAGAGCGGAAUUCCUAGUGUAGCGGUGAAAUGCGCAGAUAUUAGGAAGAACACCGGUGGCGAAGGCGGCUCUCUGGAACGGUACUGACGCUGAGACGCGAAAGCGUGGGGAGCGAACAGGAUUAGAUACCCUGGUAGUCCACGCCGUAAACGAUGGGCACUAGAUGUGGGCGGUGUCGACUCCGUCCGUGUCGAAGCUAACGCAUUAAGUGCCCCGCCUGGGGAGUACGGCCGCAAGGCUA
rnacentral:rRNA from 1 species